UGAGGAAUAUUGGUCAAUGGGCGGAAGCCUGAACCAGCCAAGUAGCGUGAGGGAAGACUGCCCUAUGGGUUGUAAACCUCUUUUGUUUGGGAGCAAAGUGCGCCACGUGUGGUGUAUUGCGAGUACCAUUCGAAUAAGCAUCGGCUAAUUCCGUGCCAGCAGCCGCGGUAAUACGGAAGAUGCGAGCGUUAUCCGGAUUUAUUGGGUUUAAAGGGUGCGCAGGCGGCGCGCCAAGUCAGCGGUCAAAGUUCCGGGCUCAACCCGGUGUCGCCGUUGAAACUGGCGUGCUCGAGUGCGUGCGAGGAAGGCGGAAUGCGUUGUGUAGCGGUGAAAUGCAUAGAUAUGACGCAGAACUCCGAUUGCGAAGGCAGCUUUCCAGCGCGCUACUGACGCUGAGGCACGAAAGCGUGGGGAUCGAACAGGAUUAGAUACCCUGGUAGU
rnacentral:rRNA from 1 species